rnacentral:piRNA from 1 species
UAUGGACUAGAUAAAUUUAUGUA